rnacentral:lncRNA from 1 species
UUAUUUAGGUGAUGGCCGGCCUUGUUACUCUUUCAAUAGUGACGAGAGGAUGUGGAAAAGUCCGAAGUAGCCCUUAUCUUGACUUUCCAAAAUCAAAAUCACAGAAAUCUAAACGAUAGAAGAUGCAUGAUCUUUUCCUCUGGAAAAAUAAAAUAAAAUUGGACCUUGGUUAAAGAAAGAAACGUUUGUCUCUAGGUGUAGAUCACGCAUACAUAAGCAAAAGUUCAUAAAGUAUGGUAGAAUAAAAAAGAAAUUAAUUUUUCCAAUUGUUCAUUCCUGGAAAGAGGAGGAAACCCAGUCAGACGGUAAAAAGAGUUGACAAUACAUGAUGCAUAGCGCAUCAGAUGCAUUUCAUAUGUAUGCUGGAAAAAGGCGUCAGAGCUUUAUGUUUUCGUGAGAGAGAAACAUAAAGUCUCUAAAACCAUCAGCAAUGAAAGCUAACGGAUUAGCUUUCGUUCUCCGAGAAGAUUUCAUCUGUGCAAGUGUAUGGCCGCUCUGCCCACCAAACUCAGGGGCAUGCGGAUGGAAGUUCUUUGCACGUGCGAGACAAGUUCUUGGGGUUUCGGACACGGGACGUGACCACACGCAUGUUGGAAAAAAGCAGCACAAGAAACGACAGACACGAAAUGAAGAAGACAGCAACCUCUUCCUCUCAGAGUCAUAAAGAUGUUUCGAACCUCUUCUGCACAGUUCUCAGCUCCCCUACAAGAAAUGAAUGCGCGAAACAACGAACAACAGAUCAAAUGCACGACGUGUUCAGAUCUUUCCUGAGGUCAAGAAAGGAUUCUAGACAAAAGCAAAGAAGAGGAAAAAACUGCCAAGAAAACAGCCCGAGAAGAAAAAACACCAAUGGAGGCUAACACCAGAAACAAAGAUGUUGUUUUAAGGGUGCUUUUAUAGAGGCUUCGAGCGUGUUCUAGGGCAAGAGCGAGGGGCGGUAGGAUAGCUUCGGGCAGCGGGCAGAGGAGCUGCAUGAAGAUGAUUUCAAGAAGGAUCGUGCUCGUGGGUGGGGCGGGCAGUUCUUGUCCUGCUGCCCGCUUUUAUUGAAUAUUGCAAGUUGGCGGUCGAGCUUAUCUUCUUGUCUGGCAUCUAAGCAUAUAAUGUUAAGCAUAUAUAUUAUGCUUUCGUUUGCCUUCUCUUUACCUGCCUCUCCAUUAAUCGCCUUUGGAGCCUAUCCACGCAAUAACUUUAUAAUUGACUUGCUUUGUUAUGUAUCAACUCCUAAUGACUACAAUUUUUCCAAGGAUUCACAUGUAGUGUAACAUAAGCAGGUUAUUUGCCCGAAAUUUAGACUAUGGCCGGCCUUGUUACAUUUUCAAUAGCGACAAGGGUAUAGUGGAAAAGUCUGAACCGACCUGAUCAAAACCAUAGAAAGACAAAUGCUAGAAGAUGGAUGAUCUCUGUCUUUCCAAAAAAAAAAAAGUUAGAUCUUGGGCUUCAUUUGUUUCUUAGAAAAUAACUUCUAGGAAAAUAUUUUGGGCUCCAUUCGUUUCAUAAAAAAUAACUUCUAGGAAAAUAUUUUCCGAAUUUUCCCAUAUUCGUUUAAUGGAAAAUGAAUUAAUUGGAAAAAAAACAUUUUCCAUGAUGAAAAAACAGUAUUCUAAGAUAAUGAAAAAUGUUUUCCACUUUUGAAAAAGAAGAAAAUAUUUUCCUCACUCACUUUCUUUUAUCUCAUAUCCUUGUUAACCAUUUCAUCUUUAAUUUUCUUUUAUUGUCAUUUAAAAAAAAAUUAACUUUUUAAUUCUUUUUCUCUUUUUUCUUGUUUUUGUUAAUUUUGUCUUGGCCGGUUGCUGAUUAAAAAGCAUUGACACUCUCUGAGAGCUUUUGUGUUAUAUCAAACAUUUUAACUCGUGUCCACUAUUCUUCGACACUCAGUCAACGUUUGUCGGAAAAAUCCGACACUUGGUCAACUUUCUUGACACUUUCCGACACUUGAGUCGAAAUUCUAACACGUGAGUUUUCGACACAUGAUUCUGAUACAAGAGGUCAAUUUUAAAUUUUUUUAAUAAAUAAGGGGUCACAAUGUAUAUAUGUGAAAAUAAAAAGACAAUAAUAAAAAUAAUAAAUAAGGAAAGAGGAAAAAUCUAAUUUUCUCUUCUCCUCUGACUCUUACUUCACAUAAUACACAAUUCACCCCCUAAGUUUUUUCUUCUCUUCUAUUCCGACAUGUAUGACACAUGAGUCUAAAAUGUGAUUUUUUUUCUCCAGAUUUGAUGGAUUAUUGGAAUAGAAUUGAAUUUACCAAAUUGAAACAAUGAAUAAUAUCAAUAAAUGGUGGAUUAAUAUUUUUGGUGUAAAUUCAUUCUAUGAUUUUUUUUAUUACUUAUUUAUUUGUGAAUUUGAAUCAAAUUAAUCUAAUUGAAAUAAUCAUAAAAAUGAUCAUUUAUUAUACAUAUAUAGAAAUAUACAUUUGUUGAGGAAAAUUCUCUUACUAGUUUGGAUGAUUAAUAAAACUUUCUUUGAUUCUUGUCUUAUUUUGACCAAAAAAAACUUUCUUUGAUUAAGAUGAAAAGUUUUUCUAAGUGGAAACCUUGAUGAGCACAUUCAAAUGUUACUCAUUAGAUUCGGAGAAUCAAACUCUAAGUUCUAAAAUAAUUCAUAUAUUUGAUAUUUGAUUAGCAAGAUAUUGAUUAGGAAGAAAAUCCUAAUGCAACGACAAAAAAUUGGUGGAUUUCUUUCUAUUAUUAAGGGACUUACGUAAGAAUGAAGGAAUAUCAAAUCCAAUCUUUAAGAUGGAUUUUAUCAAGUCUUGGAUGAAUCAAUUUAUAAAGGGCGAAAUACUCUUUUCAAGUCAAGCACUCUACUUAAGGAAACUCCAUCUAUUGUAUAGGCACAUAAUCAAAGAGAGAUUUCAAUCUCGGCAACUUUCAAGCUAUCAAAUCUUCUGACAAUGUUCAAGACCAACGAAAAGAUUGGCUAAGUGAACCUCUAAGGAAAUGUCCAAUGUUCAACUUGGAUAUAGAGGUUUAUAUAAGAAGGUCGAGAAGCUAAAAGGGAUUAAUGUACAGAGCUGAAAUUAUGAAGUCUAUAAUUCCUAACUUCUGAAUGUUCUUCAUUCAUUCAAAUUUGUCUGUAAGAGCUAUACUUUGUAAUCUUUUAGAGGUUAAGAAUGUGUGAGGAAUUAUUCACAUGAGCUUGAGUAUUUGAUACUUAGAUAUAACAUUACCAAUCAACUGUCAACGCGGGAGAGUGGUUACAAAAGCCGAACCACUAUAACUAUUUGUGCUAUUUGUGUACAAUUCUCUAUCCCUUACUUUCUUUAUUUUAUUUAUCUUAAGGGCUAUUUGUACACUGGUAUGAUUUGACAGUUAUUCAGGUUGUGAUAAGUAAUUGUUCUAUUGCAAUAACAUUUUAAAUUCCUUUUAUUCCGCAUUAUCACUUAUUCACCCUCUCUAAGUGAUUCAUCUAAAACCUAACAACAUUUAAUAUAUAACGUGUCCCAAAAUUCUCUAUUUUUUUAGAAAUGAUGUGUCGGCAUAUUAUGUUGUGUCGUGUUGCGUAUCGCGUGUCAGUGCUACUUGGGUUGCUGGCCAUAAUGACCGCUGGUGACUGACCACAGGCAAGCUUGAGGCUCGUCACUCACCCAUUGGUGGUGAGCCAGGUGAGCAGAGAGCUCCUUAGCUCACCGCUGACUCGAUUGAUAGCGAGCUAGGGCUCCAAGCUUGCCAAUCUAGCCUACCACUCACUAGGCUUGGCGAUUUGGCGAGCAUCGAGCUAGGGCCUCACCAAAUUAGCAAGCAGCAAGAUCGAGCUUGCUCGUUGGCGUCAUGUGAGCUUGAGCUUGUCUUUGGCUAGUCACCAAUCGUUGCCAUGGCCGGUGAUUGGCUGAAGAAGAAGACAAAAACAAAGAAAACAAAAAUAAAAUAAAAUAAAAUAAAAUUAAGAAUAUAAAAUAAUUUAAAAUCGAUUUUUUUUAAAAUGUAAAAAAAUAAUUAUAAUUAUAUUUUAAAAAAAAAAUUAUUAAAAGAGUACAUGAAAAAAAAAAAAAAAAUUUUCCUUAUCGAACAACGAAAAAUAUUUUUCGCUUCUAUUGAAGUUUCGGCCGAAACCAUAAAACAAUUAUAUUUUCUUAGAAAAUGGCUUCCUGGAAAAUAUUUUUGAGAAGUGCCACAUUUUCCACGAAACGGAUGGAAUUUUAAUUGGAAAAAAAAAAAGAAACGUUUAUCUUUAGGUGGAGAUCACACAUACAUAAGUAUGAUCUUAAAGUUUCAUAAAAUAAAAUAAAAAAAUAGAUUCAUUUUGUCAAUUGUUCAUUCCUGGAAAGAGGAAGAAGCCCCAAUCAGACAGUAAAAAGAGUUGAUAAUACAUGAUGCAUAACGCAUUGGAUGCAUUUCAUAUGUACGCUGGAAAAAAGGCUUUAGAGCUUUAUGAUGUGGUAAGAGAGAAACAUAAAGUCCCUAAAACCGUCAGCAACGAAAGCAAACAGAUUAGCUUUCGUUCUCCAUGAAGAUUUCAUCUGUGCAAAUGUAUGGCCGCUCUGCCCACCAAACAAAGUAGCAUGCGGACGGGAAUUCUUUGCACGUACAAGACUCGUUCUUUGGGCUUCGGACUCGGAACGUAACCACACGCAUGUUGGAAAAAGCAGCAUAAGAAGACAGCAACGUCUCCCUCUCAGAUCAUUCGACUCUUGAAAGGUGUUUCGAAACUCCUCGCCACAGUUCGCAGCUCUCCCACAAGAGAUGAAUGCGCGAAACAACGAACAACAGAUGGAAUGCAAGACAUCUUCAGAUCUUUCUUGAGGUCAAGAAAAGAUUCUAGACAAAAGUAAAGAAUAGGAAAACCUGCCAAGAACGAAGCCUAAGGAGAAAGAACACCAAC